rnacentral:tRNA from 1 species
GCAGGGGUGGCGGAGCGGUCAAACGCGCCGGAUUUAGGGUCCGGUCCCUUAGCGGGUUCGAGGGUUCAAAUCCCUUCCCCUGCA